AGAUCUCAUACUUCGCGCCGAUGUCGAUACCGCGCGUCGGCUCAUCGAGUAUGAGGACUUCGGGAU
rnacentral:sRNA from 1 species